AGAUAUAUAAACUAUCUAUCAAGUUGGACACAAUUAAAUUCUGUUCUGGAGUUAGAAUUCUAUUUGUCAAAAGAGAUUGCCUUUGUUCCUGUACAACUAACUCUCCCCAAAACAUCUCCGUACAGACAUUUUCCCCACUUAUAACUUUUCCCAAUAAUCUGUGGAGAUGACAUUAGCAGUUACUUCAGUAAACUCCAGUUUGAUCGGUGAUGGAGCAAGCGAGGGCUUCAGUGAUAUAGCAAUUAUGAGCCACUUGCCUUUACAAUGAACUUUUCAGAAGCAAUGACGUACAGACUUAGAAAAGCUACUUUUGUGCACAUCACCUGCACG
rnacentral:lncRNA from 1 species